AAUAAAAUGUAAGUGAUAUUCUUUAGCACUGAACAGCACUUACAAAAGAAGCAGUGUGCUGCAUUUCCUUCUCGGGUAGGUUAACUUGCCCCUUACUGCUCUACUUACCUGUUAGGCUGGUGGCUAACUUUGUAUAAUGUGAAAUCCAAAGUGAGGGCAAGAACCUUAACACUUUCAAGCUGAGAAGGGUAUCCAGAUGAAUCAGUGACUAGAAAAGUUCAAAGGAAUUAAGUAACUAUCCUAUGACACCUUAAAGUAGCCCAGACAAAUUAAGUGCCUCAGAUGCAUAUGGAUACUGAUCAGUAAUUAAAAAAAAACAGUUUAGAUGUAUGUUCCGUUUCUAUUGUUAGGAUUAACUUUGAAGGUCACAACCCCGUUUUUACUACUGAAUCUCACAUUUGUGAGGCACAACUUCCCUUGAACUUUCCACGUUUGCCAAAAAGAUUGCAUUUAUCUGCUUAUUUUCUAAUUUUAUUCCUUAUUACAACCUAUGCUUACUAGGUAGUAGCUUAGUCUCCUUAAAGCCCCAUAAAAAUAGGCCCUAUUUUGUGGUUUUCCACUUCUCUAGUACAAAGUAGUAUUUAUCAACCAAAUCUGUUUGCUCUUUAUUCUGCCCCUGACAGACAGCACUGAUGUAGGAGGAGUUUUGACCAUCUUGAAGGCAGAUUACAGCAAAUACAUCACUGGAUUAACCAUUGCAGAGUACCCACCCAAACCCUCUGAAAGCAAACAUGAGCAACAUAAUGUUUUUCCUGUCAUUGCAUUGUGUCCUUUACCUACAGACUAAAUAGUUCUCUUCAUAAUCAGUCUCAACAUUGGUUAUUUUUGUGGUUGCAUCAUAUUUGAUCAUAUGCACUUUUUUUCUUUUCAAUCACAGUAAACUUCUGUAACAGAGAGCAUCUGAACUUGAGUCCUGAAGUCUUCAGUUAUAAAACACUCUGGCUAACCACCUGUGCCCAAUCACUCACAAAACCAGGAGUUGUGGCUGUGCUCCCUGGGCAGUGUUUGUCUUGCAGAAGCAGUACUGCUAGAGAAACCAUCAAGUCUGUGUCUUGUGCUAUGUGGAAG
rnacentral:lncRNA from 1 species